rfam:Canis lupus familiaris chromosome X, whole genome shotgun sequence.
AAGGGGAGCACUGGAUCCCGGGCUGUGUCCCCUGGCACCUUGUGCUCCGGGGCCUGCGCCACUGAAAUCAUGCUCCCGGGACCGCGCAGCCCCCU